rnacentral:rRNA from 1 species
CGGCAACAGCUCAAAUUUGAAAUCUGGCCCUUUCAGGGUCCGAGUUGUAAUUUGUAGAGGAUGCUUCGGCGUUUGCGCUGCCUAAAGUUCCUUGGAACGGGACGUCAAAGAGGGUGAGAGCCCCGUGUCUAGGUGGAUGCUUUUGCCAUGUGAAGCUCCUUCGAC